rnacentral:rRNA from 1 species
UUCCGUAGGUGAACCUGCGGAGGGAUCAUUACACAAAUAUGAAGGCGGGCUGGAACCUCUCGGGGUUACAGCCUUGCUGAAUUAUUCACCCUUGUCUUUUGCGUACUUCUUGUUUCCUUGGUGGGUUCGCCCACCACUAGGACAAACAUAAACCUUUUGUAAUUGCAAUCAGCGUCAGUAACAAAUUAAUAAUUACAACUUUCAACAACGGAUCUCUUGGUUCUGGCAUCGAUGAACAACGCAACGAAAUGCGAUAAGUAGUGUGAAUUGCAGAAUUCAGAGAAUCAUCGAAUCUUUGAACGCACAUUGCGCCCUUUGGUAUUCCAAAGGGCAUGCCUGUUCGAGCGUCAUUUGUACCCUCAAGCUUUGCUUGGUGUUGGGCGUCUUGUCUCUAGCUUUGCUGGAGACUCGCCUUAAAGUAAUUGGCAGCCGGCCUACUGGUUUCGGAGCGCAGCACAAGUCGCACUCUCUAUCAGCAAAGGUCUAGCAUCCAUUAAGCCUUUUUUUCAACUUUUGACCUCGGAUCAGGUAGGGAUACCCGCUGAACUUAAGCAUAUCAAUAAGCGGAGGA